GAUGAACGCUAGCUACAGGCUUAACACAUGCAAGUCGAGGGACCGGCGCACGGGUGAGUAACACGUAUCCAACCUGCCCUUUACUCGGGGAUAGCCUUUCGAAAGAAAGAUUAAUACCCGAUAUAAAGGAUGGGGAUGCGUUCCAUUAGGUUGUGGGUGAGGUAACGGCUCACCAAGCGUCCGAUGGAUAGGGGUUCUGAGAGGAAGGUCCCCGACAUUGGAACUGAGACACGGUCCAAACUCCGACGGGAGGCAGCAGUGAGGAAGAUUGGUGAAUGGGCGCUAGCGUGAAACAGCCAAGUAGUGAGAAGGAUGAAGGCUUGUGGGUCGUAAACGUCUUAUAUAUAAGAAUAUGUAUUAUAUGAAUAAGGAUCGGCUAACUCCGUGCCAGCAGCCGCGGUAAUUC
rnacentral:rRNA from 1 species